AUGGGACAUGUAUUAUCAUUCCACUACAGAAAAUUUUACAGGUCUCACAGAUACAUCAGAUGGGCGAAAUGCCAGAAAUUGAGAAGUAGAAGAUGUAAAUUUGGACCAAGAAUAUUUUCAGGAUUAAGGCAACAGGAGUUGUUAUCUCGUUUGCUCCCUCACAUGGCAGAAGAAUGUCAAAAUACUUUACUUGAGGUAAUAUAUCUUACUGAAACUUUUAUGCUACGAUUUACCUUUGCAGUGUGAAUUGUAUUAUAGGAACUUGUCUGCACAUUUGCAUUAUAUAAUCAUAUGCAAACCAACAAAAGUUUUCUAUACUAAUUAUUACUUUAAAGAGUAUUACUCUACUUCAAAUUCUGUGUGAACUGUCUGCCACAUUUUUGUUUGAGCCCAAGAUUGUGGAACAGUAGAAAAUAUAAGUAACAUUAUUAUUUCAUACAUAAAAAUAUUAGGCAGAUUAACAUCCCUUUAAUUCUGAACUUCUCUGAUGUUUUUUUUUUACAUAAGUUUCCUUGUACCAGUACCUUCCUAAGUUUUCUUUCCUUUUAUAAAGUUCUUGCUCUAAUGUGUGAAUUUAAUACUCUUAUGCUGGUCAACCGGAAUUAUACGUUUGUUAGCAUUAGCAAGAGACGAGUUUCAUUGAUGCGAUGACUUCUUUUCGCAUGAAUUUUUCUCUAGUAAAACUUGAAGCUCUUUUCAUCUGAUUUGCAAUACAGGACUUCGGAUAUUGUUUGUAUAUUCAAGGAUGGAAAAAUAGCAAUAUAAGUGUGGGCAUUACUUAAAUUUUAACCGAUAACUUUUGCUAUCGAUUCUUGCCUACUCAAAUUGAAUUUAUAGAUAUCUUUGGUUGCUUGUAUUGUACAUUUUAUGUAAAUCCUAGCAAAAAUCCUUGUCUGUAUUAUAAAAGAACCAUAUGAGAAAAUGUACUAAUGCAACACAGAACUUUUCAUUUUCGGAUGACGAAAGGGAGGUAAAUGCAAGUAUGUGAUGCUUGUGGAUCCAUCCUAUCUGCCAUUUGUGUCCAUCAGAUUUUUUAUGUUGGUAGAUGUGAUAGCUAAGCAACUUAUGAUUGACAAAAUAUAAACAUAGAAAUUGGUUGCUCACGAUGAAGCCAUUUUAUGCCAUUAAUCAGAUAAUGGGCAGAAGAUGUGCCCUGGAUUUGAAUUUUUGGUGUUGUAAUUUUGUCAUUAUCUUUAUGUGCCCAAUUAUUUAUGAAUUGGGUCAGGAUGGCAGUCAAGGACCCAAAAGUGGCGCAAUCUAAGUCCGAGAACCUGAAAACUAAAGAGCUGCUGAAGAGAUCAUUCAGUCAGAGCUGCUUAUAUUCGCUUGUGGCUAAUAUGUCAUGUUCUGUGUUUUUUAGGCUUUGUUCACUUUCUUCCAAGCUCAUCAAGAGAGACCAUCAAGAUCCUGA
rnacentral:lncRNA from 1 species